rnacentral:rRNA from 1 species
UGGGGAAUAUUGGACAAUGGGCGAAAGCCUGAUCCAGCCAUGCCGCGUGUGUGAAGAAGGUCUUCGGAUUGUAAAGCACUUUAAGUUGGGAGGAAGGGCAUUAACCUAAUACGUUAGUGUUUUGACGUUACCGACAGAAUAAGCACCGGCUAACUCUGUGCCAGCAGCCGCGGAAAUACAGAGGGUGCAAGCGUUAAUAGGAAUUACUGGGCGUAAAGCGCGCGUAGGUGGUUUGUUAAGUUGGAUGUGAAAUCCCCGGGCUCAACCUGGGAACUGCAUUCAAAACUGACUGACUAGAGUAUGGUAGAGGGUGGUGGAAUUUCCUGUGUAGCGGUGAAAUGCGUAGAUAUAGGAAGGAACACCAGUGGCGAAGGCGACCACCUGGACUAAUACUGACACUGAGGUGCGAAAGCGUGGGGAGCAAACA